rnacentral:rRNA from 1 species
AAUAGAUACCCCGGUAGUCCACGCCGUAAACGAUGAGUGCUAAGUGUUAGAGGGUUUCCGCCCUUUAGUGCUGAAGUUAACGCAUUAAGCACUCCGCCUGGGGAGUACGGCCGCAAGGCUGAAACUCAAAGGAAUUGACGGGGGCCCGCACAAGCGGUGGAGCAUGUGGUUUAAUUCGAAGCAACGCGAAGAACCUUACCAGGUCUUGACAUCCUCUGACAACCCUAGAGAUAGGGCUUCUCCUUCGGGAGCAGAGUGACAGGUGGUGCAUGGUUGUCGUCAGCUCGUGUCGUGAGAUGUUGGGUUAAGUCCCGCAACGAGCGCAACCCUUGAUCUUAGUUGCCAUCAUUAAGUUGGGCACUCUAAGGUGACUGCCGGUGACAAACCGGAGGAAGGUGGGGAUGACGUCAAAUCAUCAUGCCCCUUAUGACCUGGGCUACACACGUGCUACAAUGGACGGUACAAAGAGCUGCAGGACCGCGAGGUGGAGCUAAUCUCAUAAAACCCGUUCUCAGUUCGGAUUGUAGG